GUCCGCGAGGUCGGGGAUACAAGGUUACGUCGGCGCGCGGCGCAAGAGUCGACCGACGCCAUUUCGUCCGCGCGACUCGAGCGCGCCGCACCCGGCCGGGCCCGCACAGCCGGCCCGGGCCGGGCCCCGGGGCCACCCGCGCCCGGCCCGGGGCCCGCCGGCCCGGCCCUGGCCAACCGCACGGCGCGGAACCGGCCGGCCGGCGCGCGCGCGCUGUCGCGCGGUCGGUAGGCCUAAACGCACGGCGAGCGCAAAAUUUUUGCAAAACUUUCGGCACAAUGUAUCCGAUAACAUUCUUAUAGGCCUAUUUAGUGGACUCUCAUUUGUGGACGUUGGGAUGUCGUACUCUGUGAUUGAAGUGGAUUUUUUGCAAAAAUCACGAGGUUUUAAUGAUUUUGAAAAGAUUUAGUGAAGUGCUAGUGGCGAGACGGCGGCGCGCGGGCGGCGCUGGCGGCGGCGACAGAUGAGCUGAUGCUGCACACUCGAUACGUGUGCGGUACACGAGACGCGUCGCGUGGCGCAGCGCGUGGUGCAGCGGUCGCAGGCGACAACUACGAGUGUGAGAGCACUGUGUUGGACAUCCCCUACCGACUAAUCGAUUGAGCGAGACUGGAGAGACGUCACGCGCCGUCACCCGCACCACUAGCGUCACCCAGAGACCAGCUCCACCUAGAGACCAGCUCAUCAUCAUCAAAAUAUCUAAUGAUCCUCAAAGGAGAGCGAAUUUAGUUCAGAUUUAUCUCGCCAUUCCGAUACGGGUUGUCGGGGUCAGGGUGGUAAUGUAGGACGAUCACUAUCAGAUGUUGGUGACUACGAUGGGACGGAGGGCAGCACACCACCGCAGACUUGCAACUGCAGGCUGAUACAGAGAAUGUAGUGGAAAGAAAACAAAUCCAAUAUUAUAUGCAACAUCGUCGUCUGUAAACAUGAAACAACCACUGGCUGCUGCAUCUGUGAGGAGUUUGUGCAGUGAGAGUGACGUUGUAUCCUGGGCAUAUUAUCUGACGCUCUUAGUAAAGCUUCACAAUCAGUUCCAUUGUCUUUGUUAGGCUGACAUUAUUUUAGUGAAGGCUCAGGAAAUGGGGAUGAUGACUAGGUUUGAGUAUAUUGAUUUUUAUGAUACAUUCGGGUAAAUAAGGUCAAUGUUAACUAAUUUAUACAUAAAAAGCAAAGAUUGACUGGAUAUUUGCAAAAUAAAUAAGAUUAUAAAAUUUCAAAAUUUACUAAAAAUAUUUUAUCGUAAUUAGAUGAAAAUUCAUACAGUUUUAGCUUCCUUACAUUAAAUGUGACAUUUUUUAAUAUAUGAACUAUAAACAUAAACGCAGAAAUAACAAAGAUAUUAGUAAUUUUGUUUAAACGCCCAUACAAAUCUAACGAUCAUUAAUUGCCUACGACGUCAUAAGUGCGUACCAUUUUAUAUGGGGCGUUUUUCAGGGAUCCGCGGCAGCGCCACAAAUCUGGCCCUUUAAAUCCUUGUAGCUCCGAAAGUAAUGAUCGCAGAUACCCUGUUCCUUUUACAAAAUUGCUUUACUAUUAGCGUACUCUUAAUUUAUAUACAAUUUAAAAAACUGUCAUCAUCCCUAUUAUUAUUUACCUACUAAAUACCAUAGCCAUUACCAUUCUACCGGCAAAGACGCACUGCCAUGAUCUAUGGUGCUACAUUGAAAAUUCAUCAUUAUCUUGUUUUUUAAGAAUAUUUUUUAUAAUAUGACCAUUCCCUUCCAACUAGUCGGGAAAAACUGUGCUAGGAGUGGGUACGACAAUACACCAACGGGGCGGGGAUCGAACCACCACCCCUCUGGUGGUGAUGAGUCCGACCGUUCUCACCGUUGAGCUAUUGAUCUUAGACUGCAUUGACAUUUCACAUCAACUGACUCGCAGUAGUAGGUUGAGAAAUGAAAGCUAUCACUUAAACUCCGCCAUACACUAAUUAUCUACAAUUGUACAACUAAUGGACGUAGCAGCGGCGUGCACUGAGCACUUCAUAGAUACAUUCACUGCAUACCCUGAGGAUUCAUUACAAACCUGAAUUGUAAAAGGAAUUUUCCAUUAUGUACAGUUUGUAGUGGUUCGGUGUAAAGUGCCUAUCCUAGUGAAAACCCACUGAGUAGAGCUGCAACAGUUAGAGCUGGUGUUGUCUGUUACACGUUUGGUCCACAGUUCCAGCACACGCGGGCCCUGCUUAUGAGAGCCGCGAACGGUGCUGUGACGUCACAAGUUGGCAGCGGCGCUGUACGACACGAGUUCGCAGUGGUGCUGUGACGACACGAGUUGGCAGCGGCGCUGUGCUACACAUGCAGAACGUUCGCUCAUUGGUGCUACAAAAAACGGCGGCGUCAGAGCUGAGUCGUGACGUCAUCAACACGCAACGUUCGGCUCACACUCGCACCGAACGAGAAGUACAAGGAGAAGAUCCUUCUGUGAUGGUCCUUGCUUCGACGAGAGCAACUUACGUGGUAUCUUAUUGUUAGCUUUGCAUGGACUCGCUGGGCGGGUGCCGGGUCCACCGAGUGACAGGGCGAAACCCUCGUCGAGGGCCUGUGCCCAGGGUGUAGGGUAUGGAGCUCCUUCAUAACAUGCCAACAUCACCUUCUGUGUUCUAUAUAAUGCUAAGAUACGGUAAGUAUCAGAAUAUAAUCGUAUACCCUCGUCAGUAAUUUAUUAAUGGUAAAAAAUAAAUGAUUGAUAAAUAGGUUGCCUAGUUAAAUUGCGUUUAAUACAGUUAAAUUAAGCAUAAAAUAAGCUUUCAUUUGACAUAUUGGACGACUAAAUAACUUUAAUAACAUUACUCAAGUGUUUAUAUAGUUAUGGCAAUCCCACAAUUGCAGUGUGCAAGCAGGCAAUUUUUAACAAAUUUAAUAGAAAUGAAAAUGAUUUUUUUUUUCUUUUUAAACAUUACAUUAAAUAAUAGGGCUAAGAUCUUCUUUUAAGUAAAUACCUGUGUCAGAAGGUCUCGCUCUUCCUUUAUAUCAUCAUAGUCGUAACUACGGUAUUUUAUAAUGUUUAAAAAAAUUAAACAUUGAAACUAUCCUGCCGCAAUUAUAAUAUGUGAAUAUUUUCUAUCAUUUAUUUCCUAUCCCAAAUAAAUAACAGAUGAGCGUGUAUGUUUCGUAAGCCGGAUCUUGUACUAUAUCGUCAUAUUGUUCGAUGCGAACGUAGUUGUAAUAUUUAAAUUUGUAAUAUUGCAAAUUAACUCCAAUUAGUUACUAUGAACAGGUUCAUUUACUUGCUUGAGAUUUAUUAUAAACUAGCGAACGUAAGCGACUUCGUUCGUGUGGACGUCAGUUUUUGAGAAAUCCCGCGGGAACCAUGGAUUUUUCCGGGUAUGUGUUAAUCCAGAGUAAAAUCUAUUUCCAUUCCAAAUUUCAUCCAAAUCGCUUCAGUAGCCGCAGCACAAAGGAGGAACCGUUUCGAAAUAGCUUGUAAACUAAGCUUAUUUGAAAUAAAUAAAUUUUGACUUUGACUUUGACUUUGAACAAACAUACACACUUAUACACAAACUGUCGCCUUUAUAAUAUUAGUGUGAUAGUGUUAUUAUUGUGCACAAAGAACCAUUCAUAGUGUAAUAUGAAAUCCUUGCCUUGAUAAUUACUUCAAUAGUCCCCCAUAUCAAAACCCAAAACCCCAAAAUUUUAACUUGGUUUUUGAGAAAAACACGGACAUACAAACAUACGGCUAUAUACAAAUACGGAUUACAUUUUUAAACAUCCUUUUUGAAGUCGGUUUAUUCUUUGUACAAUUCUUGGCUCUACUGCUGUUCCUAUCCUAUCUCACCCGAUGGUAAGUGAUGAUGCAAUCUUAGAUGGAAGCGGACUAACUUGUUAGGAGGAGGAUAACAAUCCACACCGCAUUCGGUUUCGACACGACAUCAUACCGAAACGCUAAAUCGCUAGCCACUGCCGAAGUCUCUUACCAGCCAAAAGUAGAGUAGCGACGCAGUUCUCUGAAUCUGGAUUGAAGCCUGGCAGUCCGGGCACUCUCAGACUAGAACGUUGAAAGAGGAACGAGAUCGUACAGUCUUCGAGGACUUCGCUCACGAUAUAUUUUGUAGAAUUUAUUACGUUAAAAUAUGUGUUACUUUUAAAAGCUAGCGCAGGUAAACAAGCUGGUCCACAUGGAAUUCAGUUUUACCACAUUUAAUAAUUUGUACCUUCGCUCUCGACGGGACCAAGCACAUUAAAGCUCUGUUCGACGCGCCGGCCGCCUGGAAACAGCAUGACAAUAUGUUCAGUAGCAUCUGUGAGGGAAUCUGUCACAGAAACUACUCGACAUGUUGGAAGCUACGUCGGCGCUGCUGGCUGCUGGAUAACUAUUUAGUGAACGUCACUCGGUGUAUUAUCUGUUUUUAAACGUUCACUUUUAUUUUAUAUUUAUUAAUUUAUCUACGCACGUCUUAUUUAGAUAUUUUGUAUUUUUGUCUUUAUGUCACUUUUGUUGUUAAUGUUCUCUUUUAUUAUACCUAAAUUUCAUGUCUGCCUUAUUUAGAAACUUUAUGUUUUUGUCGCUUCGUUGUGUCGAUCGUAAUUUAUUUUCUUUUCCCCGGUGGCGAAUCAAAAAAUUGUGAAAUUUUCUGAUUGGCUGUCGCUAUCUAGCAAAGGCCUCCUCAACUGGAACCCGUAGAUCCGAACUUGUGCGCACAGUCGACGGCGACACGGCCGCCCGGCCUGCGCACCGCCGCGUGUGCGCCGGUGACCACUCACCGGCCGGAGUGCGCGGGCGGGCGGGCGUGUCCCACACAAGUUGGGUGAUACGCGGGCGCAGUAGAGGCUGGACAUCGUCGCCUCCACACAAGGGUUAUUUGUUUGCAUUUCUUUUGUUUUGUGCUGUUUGUAGCACCGCGGGACUGCGGCAGCCAGACGUGCCUGCCUCAUGUUAGGAAAACUGAAAGUUAGUCCGCCCACGCUCCUACCGUAGGAACCUAAUUACGGUAGCCAAUAGUGUAGUUUGGACGUGGUAACUUUGGAGGGUAGCAGUUCCACAUCCUCGAUUUUCCAAAUAAAACGUAAUUUUCUUAAUUUUUCUGCGGUACAUCGUGAGUAUUCAUGUCUGCAGUCGCUAGAUUGUGGCAGCCCUUGAGCCCUUCGCUACAAAUGUUUAAAGUUCUUGAAAAUCUUUGGUGACUGACGAUUGGAGACAUAGUUUCUCAUAUUAUGUAUGCCGAAUAAAAUCUUAAAAAAGUCUUUUUAACAAAAAACUUUAACCGACUUCAAAGUGAUCUAAAGGUAGCAUACAUGAUGUUAUUUUUGGCUUUUUAAUUUAUUUUUGAAGUCAGUUCAAUUUUUUUUGUUAAAAAGAUUUUAUUUUUCUGAUUUUUAGUGUGUCCUAGCAAAGUGAACGCAAGCGCCACAGUACGGGCAAUUUCGUUAUUUUCAUUUUAACACGAAAUUACUGAACCGAUUUUCAUGAUAAUUAAAUGGGACCAAUCUGGAAUCUGAAUCAAUUAAUCUAUUUCAAGCAAAAAAAACCUUCAAAAUUGGUUAAGAAAUGAAGAAAUUAUGAGGUAACAAACACAAAAACAAUGAAACCCUUGAAACUGCUUUACUUCAUAGCCACCACAGACCAAACUGCACAAUUGGCGCCCGCUAGCGGGGGCAGGCGCGAGCGCACCAACUGUCAGCUCUACAACGAGGCGCGUCUGGCUCUCGCAGGCUGUCGGUCCACGGCACUUUAUCUUCACACUUAUUUCUUUUACAUGUUUCUGUUUUGUUAUUCAUUUUAGUUGUUAUUUGUAAUUAAUUCUUAUUUAUUUUGUUAUGAUUAUUUGCAUUUACUUUGUCCACGGGGAACGUCGUUGUUGUAAAUAUUGUACAAAGGCUGGCACUAUUUUAUUUGAUUGCUUAGACUUAGAAGUUUAUAUAAAAUUUUCAGGUUUGUGUAAAACUUAGCGGUGUUUAGAUGUGUUAGAUUUCAAACAACAUUUAUGGUAAACUAACUAACUGUGUAAGACAUUUUUGUGCAAACAUUUCGAUAUAUCACUCGUGGCUUCCUGCAGUGUCUGAGGUUUUGAUAAACUACCUUCAGCCGUCACUAUACGCUACGUCAACAGUGAUUCACCAGAUUCUGUAAACAAUAUGAUAUCGAAAUGUUUACAUCAAAUUAUGUUUAAUUCUGUAAAAGUAUUGCGCUCGACAUACCGACGAUGAUAUCUUCAAGAGUUCCCGCAAAUUGCGGUUUGAUGUCGGAACCGACGCCGACGUCGGCCGCAGUGCGGGCAGGAGCGGCAGCAGCACCAGCCGCCGGCGGGGUGAGGUAGUAGGUUGUAUAGUACUGCAUUACACCACUGAGGAGAGACUGUAUAGCCUGCUAACUUUCCCGGCCGGCGGCGCGCCGACGAGGGACCGCCGCCGCAGCGGAACACGUCUGCAGCAGCAGUAGCAUAGGUCGUACAUAGCGCCGCUCCGCUGCCAGCACGACCGUCGCACGGCAGGCCGAGCGCUGUCGGAGCAAGCGCCGCUGUCGCCGGGGCCGUCCUGCUGGCAGCGUGGCAUGUGUGUAAACUUGCGUUUGCGCUUUGGACCGCAGCGUCACCGGUCCCAGGCGCAAACGGAGAGAUGUAACUCAUCAUCAUCACUUCACGUGCUCAUGUGUAUCAUGUGGUAAUAAGUAUGUGUGUACACACCAGAGGGCCGGGGCAGAUGGACGGCCUGUCGCAGACGGUGUCGGCUCGAACAGUCGGAUGAGUCAGUCGUCUGUCGAUGUGACAGAGCACCGCCGUGUGGUGUCGCGUGCAGCACGAGAUGUGCUGCUGAGGGUGUGGAGCUGCUGCUCGUUUGUCCCAACAGGAUGUUGUCGACGCAACUCUGAGAUCUGUUCACUUGUUGACAGACGUUGUCAACUUGGCAGUAUCGAUUACUUAGAUACAAGCAACAUUAAUUUGAUGAACAAGUGGUCGUCCUCUGCGCGCCCAGGCCGAACCUCUGCACCGAUACCGAAGGGGUGCUACUAUAAUUUUAAGAUUCCGCCUAGUUCAUUAAGAUUUCCUGUACAGUCAAACGAAAGUUAAGUUGUAAGAUAACAUUGUAUUGAAAGGAUCUUCACAACUUUUCUUAUAAUUUGACAAUAACGCUGGCAGCAUUUGCACACGACAAACUGAGACAUUUUACAUUCAGUCGCGUCAAUCGCAUCUGUAAUACGCGACUGUCGCGCUGUGCAAAGACUGUAGGGGGGCGAGUGAAUUACGUGGUGCGGUGUCGUGCGCGUCGUACGCAGUGAAGGUCGUGUCUAAUGUAUGUAAACAGGGGACCCACAGCCAAGCCUGUGCUGUGGGCACCGUGUGACGGCCGGCACUGCGUGGACGCGCACGGACGGCCUCGUCGUCUUGUUUAUAUGUAUAUAAUGUUAUGUGUCACCAAAAUAAAAAUGAAAAUGAA